rnacentral:lncRNA from 1 species
CUGAGGCAGAAGCAGAGGAUGAAUAUGAGCUCACUGGUGGACACUGGGUGGAAUGGAGGACACCAGGAGCAAGUUAAUUCAUAGAAGAUUGGAAAGGCAGAGUGCCCUGAAGGAGUGUGCGUUUUUCCAUCCUUAGACAAGGGAGUUUCUGGAGCUGAGAUGGCUUUUCAGAGAGAUUCUGCACUGAGACCUGCCUUGCAAGAAAUUGUUACAAGAAGUUCUUCAGAGAGAAGGAAAAUUAUACACCGGUCAGCAAUUCAAAUCUAUAUAAAGGAAGAAAGAGCAUUAGGAGAGGAAUAUGCGAA